GACGAACGCUGGCGGCGUGCUUAACACAUGCAAGUCGAACGGAAAGGCCCUGCUUUUUUGUGGUGCUCGAGUGGCGAACGGGUGAGUAACACGUGAGUAACCUGCCCUUGACUUUGGGAUAACUUCAGGAAACUGGGGCUAAUACCUGAUAGGAGCUCCUGCUGCAUGGUGUGGGUUGGAAAGUUUCGGCGGUUGGGGAUGGACUCGCGGCUUAUCAGCUUGUUGGUGGGGUAGUGGCUUACCAAGGCUUUGACGGGUAGCCGGCCUGAGAGGGUGACCGGCCACAUUGGGACUGAGAUACGGCCCAGACUGCUACGGGAGGCAGCAGUGGGGAAUAUUGCACAAUGGGCGGAAGCCUGAUGCAGCAACGCCGCGUGCGGGAUGACGGCUUUCGGGUUGUAAACCGCUUUCGCCUGUGACGAAGCGUGAGUGACGGUAAUGGGUAAAGAAGCACCGGCUAACUACGUG
rnacentral:rRNA from 1 species